rnacentral:lncRNA from 1 species
AUAUAUAUAUAUAUAUAUAUGUUUUUGUUUUUAGAUCAAAUGGUCAAAAAACAGUCUAAUAAAAAUGAUGCAUCACCAGCAAAAAAAGAAGUCAAGCCUGCGGAAAAAGUUAUUUUAUGCCUUUCAGAAUUAAGGUAAAAAAAACAAUUUUAACGGUUUUAAAGUUAUUUCCAAAUUGACAUAUCGUUUUUUUUUGUUCAUUUUUUCAUUUAUAUAUUUUUUUAAAUAUUAAUUUUUUUUAUUAUUUAUUUUUUUUUUUUAGAGACAUAAAUAUACCUGAAGUAGAAAAUGGAGAAGCCUUUUUUUUAUGUACAGCAGUAUUUGACAACGACGACGUGAAACAGUCAAUGGAAAAAUCAAAUUAUAAUUCCCAAACAAUUAAAGGCGAAUAUUUACUUCAAAAAUAUAUAGCCGAAUUUAGUGAAGAGAUUGUUUUAAACAUACCCCAUACUUCUAACUUUGUACGAUGUUAUGUGUCAUCACUCAUAGUUAAAGAAGAAGAUGGAAAGAGGAGUAUUAAAUUGGAAGGAAUAGGAUACACCGACCCUUUUGUAUAUCCUUAUGCAAAAUGUAAACUAAAUACAGCUGUCGGUGCCAAUGAGACACAAGGUU